UUACGGUCAAAUCACGCUGAAAACACCGGUUCUUGUUCGAUCACCGAAGUUAAGCAUCGUAGAGCCAGGUCAGUACUUAGAUGGGGACCGCUUGCGAACACCUGGUACUGUAAG
rnacentral:rRNA from 1 species